rnacentral:rRNA from 1 species
GGAACGUGCCCAGUCGUGGGGGAUAACUGCUCGAAAGAGCAGCUAAUACCGCAUACGACCUGAGGGUGAAAGCGGGGGAUCGCAAGACCUCGCGCGAUUGGAGCGGCCGAUAUCAGAUUAGGUAGUUGGUGAGGUAAAGGCUCACCAAGCCGACGAUCUGUAGCUGGUCUGAGAGGACGACCAGCCACACUGGGACUGAGACACGGCCCAGACUCCUACGGGAGGCAGCAGUGGGGAAUUUUCCGCAAUGGGCGAAAGCCUGACGGAGCAAUACCGCGUGAGGGAAGACUGCCUAUGGGUUGUAAACCUCUUUU